CUUAAGUUCCAGGCUAUUCACAGCAGCUCCCCGCUGGGGUCAGGUGGAUAUACAAAAGGGCGGGUAGCCACAGAAAGGAUUUUUGCUCUGGUUCUGUCAAAGGAGUUUCCAAAACUCCUCCCCAAGAACUGGAGUGUGUGCCAGGGCCGAGUCCUCACAAUGGGGAGGAGCCAGGAGAGACCACGCCCCAUUACAGCAAUUCUCCAACUCACUCCUGCAGUUUCAGUAAGGAGGGGAAGUGGAAACCUCAGCGCGAUCUGCUUCACGCCCACUCGACUUCAGCAAGUAGGGGUCCGAGCAAAAAGAGGAAAUACGCGUGCGCACUCCCGUCCACCUUCACGACUCCAGGACUCCGUAGCAGGGCGCGGCAGAAAACGUUGCAGAGACCUCUCCAGGAGCCAAUCCUGAACCUCCCAGAAUACACCGUGCUCUGCAGCAAGGCAUUCGGGGAAAUGUAGUCUGAGCCCGAAUUCCAUCCCCCAGCAGGCACAACGGUGCCCCUCCCCUUCCAAUCCCAGGAGAAAACAAAAGCUUUGUCCUGCCCGAGUUUUCAUUGGACAAGUCAAGGCCCCGCCCUGCCCCGGGCCUGGCCUAAGUUUCCUACUCAGUAAAAAUAGUGGUUUCGCCUCAUAGAA